rnacentral:rRNA from 1 species
AUUGAACGCUGGCGGCAGGCCUAACACAUGCAAGUCGAAUGGUAACAGGAAACAGCUUGCUGUUUCGCUGACGAGUGGCGGACGGGUGAGUAAUGUCUGGGAAACUGCCUGAUGGAGGGGGAGAACUACUGGAAACGGUAGCUAAUACCGCAUAACGUCGCAAGACCAAAGAGGGGGACCUUCGGGCCUCUUGCCCUCAGAUGUGCCCAGAUGGGAUUAGCUAGUAGGUGGGGUAACGGCUCACCUAGGCGACGAUCCCUAGCUGGUCUGAGAGGAUGACCAGCCACACUGGAACUGAGACACGGUCCAGACUCCUACGGGAGGCAGCAGUGGGGAAUAUUGCACAAUGGGCGCAAGCCUGAUGCAGCCAUGCCGCGUGUAUGAAGAAGGCCUUCGGGUUGUAAAGUACUUUCAGCGGGGAGGAAGGGAGUAAAGUUAAUACCUUUGCUCAUUGACGUUACCCGCAGAAGAAGCACCGGCUAACUCCGUG